rnacentral:rRNA from 1 species
GUGGGGAAUAUUGGGCAAUGGGGGAAACCCUGACCCAGCAACGCCGCGUGAGGGAAGAAGGCUUUCGGGUUGUAAACCUCUGUCCUUGGGGACGAAGCAAGUGACGGUACCCAAGGAGGAAGCUCCGGCUAACUACGUGCCAGCAGCCGCGGUAAUACGUAGGGAGCAAGCGUUGUCCGGAAUUACUGGGCGUAAAGGGUGCGUAGGCGGCCUGGUAAGUCAGAUGUGAAAUACCCGUGCUUAACAUGGGGGGUGCAUCUGAUACUGUCAGGCUUGAGUGCAGGAGAGGAAAGCGGAAUUCCUAGUGUAGCGGUGAAAUGCAUAGAUAUUAGGAGGAACACCAGUGGCGAAGGCGGCUUUCUGGACUGUAACUGACGCUGAGGCACGAAAGCGUGGGGAGCAAACAGG